rnacentral:rRNA from 1 species
AUGCCUAUGGGCUUAUUCGAAGCACCCGACACCUUUAUGCAUGUGAUGCAUUUUGUUCUUCGCCCUUACAUUGGUGUAUUUGUUGUGGUCUAUUUUGAUGAUAUUCUUGUUUUUAGCAAAUCUAUCAAAGAUCAUGUGACCCAUCUUAGAACCAUUUUGCAAACUCUUAGAAAAGAGCGCCUUUAUGCUAAUAUGGACAAAUGCCUUUUUGGUGUUGAUAAGCUUGUUUUCUUGGGUUUCGUUGUGUAUUCUAAGGGUGUUCACGUAGAUGAAUCUAAGAUUGAAGCUAUUAAAAUUUGGCCCCAACCAACAAACUUGAAACAAGUGUGUAGUUUUCUUGGCUUAGCCGGAUUUUAUCGUCGUUUUGUGAAGGAUUUUAGCACCAUUGCUUUACCUUUGCAUGCCUUGAGUAAGAAAAACGAACCAUUUAUUUGGGGACCACAACAAGAUACCGCAUUCAAUGAGCUUAAGAAUUUGCUUACACAUGCCCCUUUGCUUGCAUUACCCAACUUUAAUAAACCUUUUGAGAUCCAUUGCGAUGCUAGCGGUUAUGGCAUAGGAGGUGUGUUAAUGCAAGAGAAGCGCCCCAUAGCUUACUUUAGUGAAAAACUUUCCUUAACUACCCCAUCUAUGACAAAGAGCUAUAUGCUUUAG